AGAGUUUGAUCCUGGCUCAGGAUGAACGCUAGCGACAGGCUUAACACAUGCAAGUCGAGGGGCAGCACAGGUAGCAAUACCGGGUGGCGACCGGCGCACGGGUGAGUAACGCGUAUGCAACUUACCUAUCAGAGGGGGAUAACCCGGCGAAAGUCGGACUAAUACCGCAUGAAGCAGGGGCCCCGCAUGGGGAUAUUUGCUAAAGAUUCAUCGCUGAUAGAUAGGCAUGCGUUCCAUUAGGCAGUUGGCGGGGUAACGGCCCACCAAACCGACGAUGGAUAGGGGUUCUGAGAGGAAGGUCCCCCACAUUGGUACUGAGACACGGACCAAACUCCUACGGGAGGCAGCAGUGAGGAAUAUUGGUCAAUGGCCGAGAGGCUGAACCAGCCAAGUCGCGUGAGGGAUGAAGGUUCUAUGGAUCGUAAACCUCUUUUAUAAGGGAAUAAAGUGCGGGACGUGUCCCGUUUUGUAUGUACCUUAUGAAUAAGGAUCGGCUAACUCCGUGCCAGCAGCCGCGGUAAUACGGAGGAUCCGAGCGUUAUCCGGAUUUAUUGGGUUUAAAGGGUGCGUAGGCGGCCUUUUAAGUCAGCGGUGAAAGUCUGUGGCUCAACCAUAGAAUUGCCGUUGAAACUGGGGGGCUUGAGUAUGUUUGAGGCAGGCGGAAUGCGUGGUGUAGCGGUGAAAUGCAUAGAUAUCACGCAGAACCCCGAUUGCGAAGGCAGCCUGCCAAGCCAUGACUGACGCUGAUGCACGAAAGCGUGGGGAUCAAACAGGAUUAGAUACCCUGGUAGUCCACGCAGUAAACGAUGAUCACUAGCUGUUUGCGAUACACUGUAAGCGGCACAGCGAAAGCGUUAAGUGAUCCACCUGGGGAGUACGCCGGCAACGGUGAAACUCAAAGGAAUUGACGGGGGCCCGCACAAGCGGAGGAACAUGUGGUUUAAUUCGAUGAUACGCGAGGAACCUUACCCGGGUUUGAACGCAUUCGGACCGAGGUGGAAACACCUUUUCUAGCAAUAGCCGUUUGCGAGGUGCUGCAUGGUUGUCGUCAGCUCGUGCCGUGAGGUGUCGGCUUAAGUGCCAUAACGAGCGCAACCCUUGCCACUAGUUACUAACAGGUAAAGCUGAGGACUCUGGUGGGACUGCCAGCGUAAGCUGCGAGGAAGGCGGGGAUGACGUCAAAUCAGCACGGCCCUUACAUCCGGGGCGACACACGUGUUACAAUGGCGUGGACAAAGGGAGGCCACCUGGUGACAGGGAGCGAAUCCCCAAACCACGUCUCAGUUCGGAUCGGAGUCUGCAACCCGACUCCGUGAAGCUGGAUUCGCUAGUAAUCGCGCAUCAGCCAUGGCGCGGUGAAUACGUUCCCGGGCCUUGCACACACCGCCCGUCAAG
rnacentral:rRNA from 1 species